AUGAACGCUGGCGGCGUGCCUAAUACAUGCAAGUUGAGCGAACAGACGAGGAGCUUGCUCCUCUGACGUUAGCGGCGGACGGGUGAGUAACACGUGGAUAACCUACCUAUAAGACUGGGAUAACUUCGGGAAACCGGAGCUAAUACCGGAUAAUAUAUUGAACCGCAUGGUUCAAUAGUGAAAGACGGUUUUGCUGUCACUUAUAGAUGGAUCCGCGCCGCAUUAGCUAGUUGGUAAGGUAACGGCUUACCAAGGCAACGAUGCGUAGCCGACCUGAGAGGGUGAUCGGCCACACUGGAACUGAGACACGGUCCAGACUCCUACGGGAGGCAGCAGUAGGGAAUCUUCCGCAAUGGGCGAAAGCCUGACGGAGCAACGCCGCGUGAGUGAUGAAGGUCUUCGGAUCGUAAAACUCUGUUAUUAGGGAAGAACAAAUGUGUAAGUAACUAUGCACGUCUUGACGGUACCUAAUCAGAAAGCCACGGCUAACUACGUG
rnacentral:rRNA from 1 species